rnacentral:rRNA from 1 species
AUUGAACGCUGGCGGCAUGCCUUACGCAUGCAAGUCGAACGGUAACAGGUCUUCGGAUGCUGACGAGUGGCGAACGGGUGAGUAAUACAUCGAAACGUGCCUAGUAGUGGGGGAUAACUACUCGAAAGAGUGGCUAAUACCGCAUGAGAUCUACGGAUGAAAGCAGGGGAUCGCAAGACCUUGUGCUACUAGAGCGGCCGAUGGCAGAUUAGGUAGUUGGUGGGAUAAAAGCUUACCAAGCCGACGAUCUGUAGCUGGUCUGAGAGGACGAUCAGCCACACUGGGACUGAGACACGGCCCAGACUCCUACGGGAGGCAGCAGUGGGGAAUUUUGGACAAUGGGCGAAAGCCUGAUCCAGCAAUGCCGCGUGCAGGACGAAGGCCUUCGGGUUGUAAACUGCUUUUGUACGGAACGAAAAGCCCCGGGUUAAUACCCUGGGGUCAUGACGGUACCGUAAGAAUAAGCACCGGCUAACUACGUGCCAGCCGCCGCAGUAA